CAGUAGAUGACUGAUAGCAAGUAAUGGUCUCUUUAAC
rnacentral:tRNA from 1 species